UUUUCAGUGAUUUCAAAAAAAUGCGACUACACACACAGCCGGCGAUCCAGAGGCACAGGGGCCGGAAAAAGAGAGAGUGAGAACCCAAGAUCUGGACUCGGACUUGCAACCUGAGUGCGCACUUUCAUUUUCAGCUGCCCGCCGCAUAAUUAAUUGCGACCGAAAGUGGACGACGGUUUUUCGUGGCGGCAGAAAGUAAAAAAGCACCCCGAUACCCAAUCGAAGGAACAUCGAACCUGUAGCGACCACUAAACCGGAUCAAAACGGCUGGCUUUUCAUACCCGUGGCAACUUUCUUCUUGCGGCUUCUGACACACUGAACUGACGCAACGCUACGAAGCGCGUGUGGCAAGUGCGGCAAGUGUCUGCCGAGUGAUUCCCUGAUCCCCGAUCCCCAUUCCUGCCCCCAAAGAGUUGAUCUUGCAACGCCCACGAAAAAUGCAAGGAGGCAGCUCCGUGGCUGCCUGAAAUGCCACUUGAAUGCCUCGGCAUCACAACGAAAAUAAAGCAAGUUUUUAGCGCGGAAUGUGGGCGAUGAUGACAAAAAGGAACCAGGGGGCACAUGACGAUUUCCCACGGAGCAGAUGUCCGGAAUACCCUUUUUCCGGGGUAUCAACCUUUAAUCACACAACUAAUAAAUAGUCAAACUUUGCAAUCC
ensembl:ncRNA lncRNA:CR43414 long non-coding RNA:CR43414